CUCCCUUGCCCAACCACGAUCCUCAAACCCAAGAAGAUUCCAGCUCACUCCCAGAGCUACCCAACUCAACGAAGGGGACAGAGAGAAAAUGAAGAACUCUGUAAGCUGAGAGUGGGCCGCUCCGAGAUGUAAAACAAUUUCCCUGGGAGGACCGCAGCCAGAUCAAAGCCAGGGAAGAACAGAGCAGGCAGUAAACAUAGUUACAGCAGGCUUAUGCUGGUCCAAGAAAGUAAUUACUAGCAUCGAGGGCCUGUUCCCAUUGGAUGAAGCAGAUCUAUUACAUAAUAAACUACACAAAGACUCGGACAGACGGCCUCUAACAAGUUUAGUUGCCAGUCGGCAGCUGAGAGAAGGUGACGUCUGCUGCGCUGUGGGAGAAAUCGCGGAUGAGUUCUGUUGCGGCUGUUUGACAAAUUGGAUUAUUCAUGGGAAUAUGACUGGCUAGUUUGUGUUAACUGCUGGAAGGACCUCUCUUGGUGCAUAGGCGGCAAAUCCAAGCUGAGAGCAGACAUUGUCUUCCAGCAUCAACAUGACCUUCUCUACGUCACACCUUCAGAAGCAGCAGAUGCCAGGCCUCCUUCACGCAUAACAGACUCGAUACCAUCACCAUGACUGAUGGGGAAACACUGUGCUUCCCUGCCUGUGCUGGCUCCGUGAUUCAUACACGACACUGAAGGACAGGAAAAUACCUGCACCUGUGCUGGCUCCGUGAUUCAUACACGACACUGAGGGACAGG